CAACACUGGGACUGAGAACUCCCCAGACUUCUACGGGAGGCUGCAGUCGAGAAUCAUUCGCAAUGGGCGAAAGCCUGACGAAGCGACGCCGUGUGUGUGAUGAAGGCCUUCGGGUUGUAAAGCUCUUUCGCUAGGGAACAAGAGACAGCGGCUAAUAUCUGUUGAAUUUGAGAGUACCAUGUAAAGAAGCACCGGCUAACUCC
rnacentral:rRNA from 1 species